CUGAGUUAGAACCCAAAUCCCUUUGUAGUAUCAAACCAUAGGGCGAACAUGAAUUUGUAUCCGUUUGAUUAUGUACAUUCAUCAGAAACUCGAAUGCAGAUAGAGAUGAGCUUGAAAGAGCUGGCAAAGUUCCUGCAGUUUCAGGAAGAUGGGUAAAAUUAUGAGCAUUUACAGACAACUGUGAUCGCAAUGGAAGCUGGGGGGGUGCAGCAGAGGUUGUAGGGGUAUUACUGGGCAUCUGUUGACUAGGCAUCCCAACUGAAAGAGAGGAAAGAUUUGUUGCAACUGUGGACGCUGAAGGUCUGCAAGGUUGUAGGUGUGGGGCAGGAGCUCGAAUUUCACCGCCAAUUUGGAGAUUGCCAGUACCAGGGGAGAUAGAGCUAAUUAGAGGUGGCCUUGAUAGGGCACCUAAGAAAAGUUCUGAUGAAUGAUGGACACCCUGCAGAGAUGGAGCUGCACCACGUGAGCUGGAGGCAGCAAUCUGUGGGCUACCUGCAGGUGGAAAAGCUGAAGACAGACCAGUGACAAUGGCACUCCACUGUGCAGUUGGCUGUGAUGAUGGCUGGAUCAGCUGCUGCAUGAAAGUUGAGGCCACCUCUUGCUGCUUACUAGCUGCACUAGAUGGUUUAGCAUCCAUGCAUUUAGAUUUGAAUGCCUCAGCCAAGAUCUUGUUCAUA
rnacentral:misc_RNA from 1 species